UACGGAGGAGGCUAGCGUUGUUCGGAAUUACUGGGCGUAAAGCGCGCGUAGGCGGCUUGGCAAGUUUGGGGUGAAAUCCCGGGGCUCAACCCCGGAACUGCCUCCAAAACUAUCAGUCUGGAGUUCGAGAGAGGUGAGUGGAAUUCCGAGUGUAGUGGUGAAAUUCGUAGAUAUUCGCAGGAACACCAGUGGCGAAGGCGGCUCACUGGCUCGAUACUGACGCUGAGGGGCGAAAGCGUGGGGAGCAAACA
rnacentral:rRNA from 1 species